CAAACAGUGGUGAAAUGGUAUCACAUUCAUCUUAUGAUGGAAAAGUAUAGGUUCAAAUCCUAUCUGUUUGA
rnacentral:tRNA from 1 species